GGAGGGGUUCCCGAGCGGCCAAAGGGAGCAGACUGUAAAUCUGCCGGCUAUCGCCUUCGGUGGUUCGAAUCCACCCCCCUCCACCA
rnacentral:tRNA from 1 species